ACAUCAGCGGUCAUGGAGAGUCUCCAUCCAGCUGGAUCACUGUCACAGGGGAACACACCACCACACCUCCACCUACAUCCACGCCUCCACCUACAUCCACCUCACCUUUUGUUCUCUCUGCGUUAUCAUGUGUUGGAUCAGUGUGUGUUGUGGUUCCACUGGUGUUACUGGUUCUCCUGGUGAGACGAUGUGUUCACAGGAAACCUGAAGAAUAUCAUAAAGAUGUUUUAGAAGAUGAAAUCAUCACUCAUGUCAUGUACGACGCCAUCAAGAUAUCAAAUCAGCAGCAGCAGCCAAUCAGACAACAGAGAGAGACAGAUUCGGUUGUAGUCUACCCAGGAGGGAGAACUGAAGACGUCAGUUAUGGCCGGACAGCCAUCAGAACAAAGAGUCCCAGACUUUAAACCAGAGCCAGACGUCGUCUACUGUUCACUGAAGUAGUCCACCAGUCCAACCACUAACGUCCAGCUACUGGUCUCUAACUGGUUCAUCCCAGCACCUCAGACUAGAGGACAUCCACAUGUUACAGAGAUUUUUAUAAGUAUUUUCAUCUUGGUUGAAAAAGCUAAAAAUCACCAAACGAAACUUUUUUGUGUUUCCUGGAUUUCUGCAACAUCAACAAAUUUUCGCUCUCACUUGCAUUUCUCACGUGGGUCUCUGGGUUUCUAAAAUACGUCCUGUGGAAAUUUUGAUUUGUUGCUGUUUUGCUGUGGCUAACCGACACCCACCUGUCUGCAGAAUACAGCGAAAACCAACGAGCUGCAAACAGAAAAAAACAGGAUCAUCAUGCUUUGGUUAGAGCAGCUUCAGUACAGUAAAGGUGUCUGUUUGAUGUCGAAGGCUUUUUUCUCACCUUGAAACCAACCAGCAGCAGCUGACACAGAAAUUUUUUUUUUACAGAGCUGAAUGGUUUUGGUUUCUGCUGAACUUGAAGCUCAUGAAUUUGUGACUCUGAUGACUUCUUGACUUUUGUCACACAUGUAUUUUAAACUAAUUUUAAUAUUGAACAAAGAUAACCCAAACCUGGAGUGUUUGUUAACCUUCUGACAAAUGUAAAAAAGAAAAAUAAAGACAGAAAUGAGAUACCAGUGUGUGUUUUUG